rnacentral:lncRNA from 1 species
AUCAGAGUUCACUGAAGAAGAGGCAUGAAAACACUUUGGAAAAUUCAAGGCACUACACAAAUGUGAGGAAUGAUUAUUGAGUAAAAACUUUCAAAGAGCAAGUGUAUGGGAGAGCAUGUGAAUGUGAGCCAUACUCCAGAAGAAAUGUCAGACGGGCUGAGAGUAAGGAGGUCCAGGGUCGUGAUGCAGUGAGCACAAAGGACAAGACGGAAGGAACGGAGAGCCAGCAGAAGAGUACCCCAGGGGUUCAAACCAAGCAAUGAAAAGUGUAACAUCGAAGGGGAAAGAAGG